AUUGAACGCUGGCGGCAGGCCUAACACAUGCAAGUCGAACGAGUGUCGGACGGGUGAGGAAUACUUGGGAAUCGGGCUUAUGGAUGGGAAUAACUACGGGAAACUGGAGCUAAUACCGAGUAACAUAGGAGGAGCCCUAGUGGGAUGAGGUGGUUGGUGGGGUAAAGGCUCACAAAGCCGACGAUCCCUAGCGGGUCAGAGAGGAUGACCAGCCACACUGGGACGGAGACACGGCCCAGACUCCUACGGGAGGCAGCAUUGGGGAAUAUUGCGCAAUGGGGGAAACCUGACGCAGCCAUGCCGCGUGAAUGAAGAAGGCCUUCGGGUUGUAAAGUUCUUUCGGUAGCGAGGCGUUAACUACAGAAGAAGCACCGGCUAACUCCGUGCCAGCCGCCGCGGUAAUUC
rnacentral:rRNA from 1 species